CCUACGGGUGGCUGCAGUGGGGAAUAUUGGGCAAUGGGCGCAAGCCUGACCCAGCAACGCCGCGUGAAGGAAGAAGGCUUUCGGGUUGUAAACUUCUUUUCUCAGGGACGAAGCAAGUGACGUUACCUUAGGAUAAAGCAACGGCGAAUUACGUCCCAGCAGCCGCGGUAAUACGUAGGUGGCAAGGGUUAUCCGGAUUUACUGGGUGUAAAGGGCGUGUAGGCGGGGACGCAAGUCAGAUGUGAAACCCACGGGCUCAACCUGUGACCUGCAUUUGAAACUGUGUUUCUUGAGUACUGGAGAGGCAAACGGAAUUCCUAGUGUAGCGGUGAAAUGCGUAGAUAUUAGGAAGAACACCAGUGGCGAAGGCGGUCGACUGGACAGCAACUGACGGUGAGGCGCGAAAGCGUGGGGAGCAAACAGGAUUAGAUACCCGAGUAGUC
rnacentral:rRNA from 1 species